GCCUGAGAGGGUGACCGGCCACACUGGGACUGAGACACUGCCCAGACUCCUACGGGAGGCUGCAGUCGAGGAUCAUUCGCAAUGCGCGAAAGCGUGACGAUGCGACGCUGCGUGGAGGAUGACGGCCUUCGGGUUGUAAACUCCUGUCAUGAGGGAAAAACUGGCGGAGGGUGAAUAGCCCUUCGCCCCGAUGGUACCUCAAGAGGAAGCCACGCCUAACUCUGUGCCAGCAGCCGCGGUAAUACAGAGGUGGCGAGCGUUGUUCGGAUUUACUGGGCGUAAAGGGUGCGUAGGUGGCUCGGCGUGUCGGGUGUGAAAUCCUGGGGCUCAACCCCAGAACUGCAUUCGAAACUACCGGGCUGGAGUACAGGAGGGGAGAGCGGAAUUCUUGGUGUAGCGGUGAAAUGCGUUGAUAUCAAGAAGAACACCGGUGGCGAAGGCGGCUCUCUGGAAUGUUACUGACACUGAGGCACGAAAGCUGGGGGAGCAAACAGGAUUAGAUACCCUGGUAGUCCCAGCUGUAAACGGUGUACACUUGGCGUAGGGGGAAUUGACCCCCCCUGUGCCGAAGCUAACGCGAUAAGUGUACCGCCUGGGGAGUACGGCCGCAAGGUUAAAACUCAAAGAAAUUGACGGGGCCCGCACAAGCGGAGGAGCAUGUGGCUUAAUUCGAUGCAACGCGAAGAACCUUACCUGGGCUUGACAUCGGAGAGGCUUGCCUCUAACGCGUGAAAGCGCGUGAACUAGACAGGUGCUGCAUGGCUGUCGUCAGUUCGUGCCGUGAGGUGUUGGGUUAAGUCCCGCAACGAACGCAACCCCUGUGUUUAGUUGCCAACCUCGAGUAAUCGAGGCGCACUCUAAACAGACUGACCGUACAAGCGGUAGGAAGGUGGGGAUGACGUCAAGUCAGUAUGGCCCUUACGCCCAGGGCUGCACACGUGCUGCAAUGGCCGGUACAGAGGGAUGCGAGACCGCGAGGUGGAGCAAAUCUCAUAAAACCGGCCCCAGUUCAGAUUGGAGUCUGCAACUCGACUCCAUGAAGUCGGAUUCGCUAGUAACGGCGCAUCAGCUACGGCGCCGUGAAUACGUUCCCGGGCCUUGUACACACCGUCCGUCACAUCAUGAAAGCCGUCUGCACCCAAAGUCGCUGAGCUAACCUUUUACUAGGAAGCAGGCGCCCAAGGUGUGGGAGGUGAUUGGGAUGAAGUCGUAACAAGGUA
rnacentral:rRNA from 1 species